rnacentral:rRNA from 1 species
UUAACCUACCCUUGACAUGUCUGGAAUGCCGAAGAGAUUUGGCAGUGCUCGCAAGAGAACCGGAACACAGGUGCUGCAUGGCUGUCGUCAGCUCGUGUCGUGAGAUGUUGGGUUAAGUCCCGCAACGAGCGCAACCCUUGUCAUUAGUUGCUACGAAAGGGCACUCUAAUGAGACUGCCGGUGACAAACCGGAGGAAGGUGGGGAUGACGUCAAGUCCUCAUGGCCCUUAUGGGUAGGGCUUCACACGUCAUACAAUGGUCGGGACAGAGGGCUGCCAACCCGCAAGGGGGAGCCAAUCCCAGAAACCCGAUCGUAGUCCGGAUCGCAGUCUGCAACUCGACUGCGUGAAGUCGGAAUCGCUAGUAAUCGCGGAUCAGCAUGUCGCGGUGAAUACGUUCCCGGGUCUUGUACACACCGCCCGUCACACCAUGGGAGUGGGUUUUACCAGAAGUAGUUAGCCUAACCGCAAGGGGGGCGAUUACCACGGUAGGAUUCAUGACUGGGGUGAAGUCGUAACAAGGUAGGCGUAGCGAG